AUUGAACGCUGGCGGCAUGCCUUACACAUGCAAGUCGAACGGUAACGCGGGGCAACCUGGCGACGAGUGGCGAACGGGUGAGUAAUGUAUCGGAACGUGCCCAGUUGUGGGGGAUAACUGCUCGAAAGAGCAGCUAAUACCGCAUACGACCUGAGGGUGAAAGCGGGGGAUCGCAAGACCUCGCGCAAUUGGAGCGGCCGAUAUCAGAUUAGGUAGUUGGUGGGGUAAAGGCCCACCAAGCCGACGAUCUGUAGCUGGUCUGAGAGGACGACCAGCCACACUGGGACUGAGACACGGCCCAGACUCCUACGGGAGGCAGCAGUGGGGAAUUUUGGACAAUGGACGCAAGUCUGAUCCAGCCAUGCCGCGUGCGGGAAGAAGGCCUUCGGGUUGUAAACCGCUUUUGUCAGGGAAGAAAAGGGCGACUUUAAUACAGUUGCCUCAUGACGGUACCUGAAGAAUAAGCACCGGCUAACUACGUGCCAGCCGCCGCGGUAAAAC
rnacentral:rRNA from 1 species